CUGCAACAAAGCAUGUGCAUUCUAUGGUCAUAGCGACCUACAUAAUUUUAAGACUUCCAACUCUUCAAUAAUUAUUCUGACAUGCCUUUCUUUCUUUUGGGGAUGCAUAAUCAAGUUGUUGGAGCUAUAUAUCUUUUAGAAAUACUAUGGUUGGAAGCUUAUGACUUUUUAUUUUUCUGCUUCAAUGAUAGCGAGCGAUUAUAUUAU
rnacentral:lncRNA from 1 species